CAGCCGCCGCGGGAAUACGUAGGUGGCAAGCGUUGUCCGGAAUUAUUGGGCGUAAAGGGCUCGCAGGCGGUUUCUUAAGUCUGAUGUGAAAGCCCCCGGCUCAACCGGGGAGGGUCAUUGGAAACUGGGAAGCUUGGGUGCAGAAGAGGAGAGUGGAAUUCCUCGUGUAGCGGUGAAAUGCGUAGAGAUGUGGAGGAACACCAGUGGCGAAGGCGACUCUCUGGUCUGUAACUGACGCUGAGGAGCGAAAGCGUGGGGAGCGAACAGGAUUAGAUACCCCGGUAGUCCCUGUCUCUUAUAC
rnacentral:rRNA from 1 species